UGCAGAGAACUGUCAGUAUAGAUCAGUCGCACAUGAUCACUGUCUCUGAAUAGAGUAAAUAUGUCAGGGCUGCUCAUGGUGGCCUUGCUCACUGUCCUUACCCUCACCCUGGAGUCUGACCACUGGACAGCAGGCCCUCCGGAAAAGUAAGAUAAGGAUCUUGCAUUGUAAAUACUCCAAUCCAAUGGUGUAAUGUAGACUUUUCAAUUUAAAACUGCUUUUAUAUUGCAAGUCGAUUUUUGACUAUUAUCUUUUUGGACAAGUAUACUUGAGUGUGACGUAUUGUUAUGUUGAAAUAUUAAAUAGUCUUGGGCAUUAGGAUACAGAAUCAUUCCAUCUCUCCCAGGUUCUGUACAUGGCAGUGUUUGAAGUUGACUCUGCAGGGGCCUGGGAGCUUUUGUUUGGUGAGUUUAACAACUUCUCCAUAGCACAUCACCCAUUCCUGUUAUUCUAACUCAAUCUAACACUGCACAGGGUCUAAAGAAUUCAUCUCAAUGCAGAAUACCUCCAAACAUCCAGAACUGGACCAUCCAUGGACUGUGUCACCAUCGAAGGACAAUGAAGAAUCCAUGUGUUCAGCAGAGAUCCCUCUUUCUUUCAGGAGCUGGACCCUGAACUCUCUCAACUUUGGCCAUCCCUACUCAAGACCCACUCCAGUUUUCUCUUCUGGAAAGAUGAAUGGAUCAAACAUGGUUCCUGUGCUGCUUGUGUGGAGGGCAUGAACUCUCCUUUGCGUUACUUCCAAAUAUGUCUGAAACUACGCGAGCGCUUCGAUAUUGACCGAGCCUUAGAGGAUGCAUGCAUCAAGCCCUCCUGUAACCAGUCUUAUCAGAGCGAUGAAGUCAAACAUGCACUGGCCCCAGUCAUUGGAGAUGACCCCGGUGUCCAGAUUCAGUGUAUAAAUGAAAAGGGACGAGAAGUGUUGGUCCAGGUGAAGAUCCCUCUGUCUCAAAACCUCACCCUUGGAUGUCUUCACGAAGAGGACCAGGGAACUGAACCUCAACCUACCCAGCUCUGGCACCCCUGUCCUCAUGACUCCCCCGUCUUCUACUUCCCUAUAAACCACGACCGCCCACACCAGCCCUGUGACUAGUGUUACGUCUGCCCUCACCACAGACUGGGUUGCCAUGCCAUGCCUGCUGGCUUAACCUAACGAUAAGCAAGUUGUUGAAUUGCAGGGCUUACAUCUUUGAGGUAGAUUACGUUAAGGCACUCAUUUAGUAUACAGCCACUAUGUUCUUUCAGUAUUUUUCUUCUGCAAAACAUGCUUUUGGAGAUAAAAAAAAAAAAAAA